AACGUAGGAGCCAAGCGUUAUCCGAAUUCACUGGGCGUAAAGCGCGUGCAGGCGGCUGGGUAAGUUGGAUGUGAAAUCUCCUGGCUCAACUGGGAGAGGCCGUUCAAUACUACCUGGCUUGAGGGCGACAGGGGGAGGUGGAAUUCCGGGUGUAGUGGUGAAAUGCGUAGAUAUCCGGAGGAACACCAGAGGCGAAGGCGACCUCCUGGGUCGUACCUGACGCUGAGAUGCGAAAGCUAGGGGAGCAAACGGG
rnacentral:rRNA from 1 species